rnacentral:lncRNA from 1 species
UUGAUAGCAAUAAGCAAAUUAGUUGUGGUACCAAUGAGGGAAGUUAACUAAAUCAAGAUCAAACUUUAAUCCAAAAAAAGAACUUUGAACUUACAUGUGGCAUGCCUUGAGCCAGUUUAUUCUUCAUGUUACAUGUAUCCACAAUAAAGUCAUAUUAAGGUAAUUUUGACAGAUUUUCAUAAAUUUCCUAUGUUAAAUAGGAAAACUAAUCCUAAUAAUAGUAAGAGGUGGAAAAAAAAUAUCUAAUCCCAAUGUGAACAGAAAAACCUAGUAAAAAGAAAUACACUAUAUUCCUAUAGUAACGACUACAUAGUGAAUAAUAAUAUUCCUAAGUAGUACUAGAUAUCUAUGACAAUCAUACAAAAUUAACAUUCCUACACAUUGGGCUAGUUUCUGAUAUAUUUGUUCUUCUUUCCCCAUCACCUCUACUAUAAAAUUUAAUCACCAUGAAGAAAUAGGUAUGCACUGGGAUCCAUGCUUUAGGGAUGCAUAUAGGAGCCAGGGGUGGACAAACCUAAGUUGGCUAAAAGAACCUUCUUUUAAGGAUCCUGAAACAUUUUUCCAGCAUCGUUUUUACAUAAUGCCUACCUCAAACUAUAAGUUUUAAACUUCAGCCUCAUUCCUUUCAGGAACCUACAAUGCUCUUCUCAUUUUUCUUUUUUACAUAACAGCCCCUCAGACUACAAGCGUUACACUCCAACCCUCAAACCCAAGAACCUAUACAUGUCUCUGUCUUCAUGCAAAGUCCAAACAAGUUUGCACAUGAAAGGAUGUGUUACAGUAUUAAUAUUGACAGGCUCUUAGUAGUUCGAGUAUUUAGGUUACUGGUUCUCCUUUACAAACAUUAACAAGAUGUAUUCACACACUUAUGUGUUCUCAGGCUUCAAAACAGCCACUUUCACAAAAUUGUCAAAGAUUAAAACAUUAAUCAUAAUUUCCUUCUCAAAACCUACAUCAACAGGGUUAUAAUUGAACAGCAACUGCUUUUUUUUUUUUUUUGUUGUUGUAAAUAUAGGUAUAGUUGCGCGCAGGCACAAUAGAUAAAUAGUGCACUACAUGAAUUUUUGACAUGAGAUUGCUCUAACACAGAAUCUUAAACCCACCCUUCCAUGUCAGAUUAUGAAAGCACAUGCAGUAAUAUUCAACAAUCAAGAACAUUAUAUAUGCAUACAAAAGAGAUUUCAACAAUCAAGAACAUUAUAUAUGCAUACAGAAGAGAUACUGAGCAAGCACACCUGAAGUGCUUCAGCAUCAGUUGUCAUCAAGUUGGUUAUUUUUCCAGAUGCAAACUUCC